rnacentral:snRNA from 1 species
AGAGUCCUGGCGUCGAGGUUACCAUGAUCAACAAGGUGGUUCCUCCAGGGUGAGGUCUAUUCAUUGCACUAAGAAUUGGCUGACCCCUGCGAAUGUUCCAAAAAAUAUUUCUAAUAGUAGAAUUCAUUAGUGCUAUACUAUUUUUGAAAUAAUAUAAA